rnacentral:rRNA from 1 species
UUCUGGUUGAUCCUGCCGGAGGCUACCGCUAUUGGAGUUCGAUUAAGCCAUGCGAGUCGAGAGUCUUAGGGACUCGGCGCACCGCUCAGUAACACGUGGGUAACCUGCCCUAUGCUGGGGAAUAACCUCGGGAAACUGAGAAUAAUGCCCCAUAGCCCACUACGCCUGGAACGGUGAGUGGGUCAAAGCUCCGGCGGCAUAGGAUGGGCCUGCGCCGUAUCAGGUUGUAGGGGGUGUAAAGUACCCUCUAGCCAUCAACGCGUACGGGUGUUGGGAGACAUUGCCCGGAGAUGGAUUCUGAGACACGAAUCCAGACCCUACGGGGUGCAGCAGGCGCGAAAACUUGGCAAUGCGAGCAAUCGUGACCAGGGAACUCCAAGUGCGUAGGGUAAGACCUACGCUUUUCUUGAUUCUUCAAAGGUCUUGGAAUAAGGGGUGGGUAAGGACGGUGCCAGCCGCCGCGGUAAUACCGGCGCCUCAAGUGGUAGUCGCUUUUAUUGGGCCUAAAACGUCCGUAGCCGGUCUGGUGCAUUCGUGGGUAAAUCAACCCGCUCAACGGGUUGAAUUCUGCGAGCACGGCCAGACUUGGGACCGGGAGAGGUGUGGGGUACUCUCAGGGUAGGGGUAAAAUCCUGUCAUCCUGAGAGGACCACCUGUUGCGAAGG